CUGAAGCUUCGGUCCCCGCUUCCACAUGCAGGCAUCUCUCGGGACAACUGGCACAAGCAGCGCAAGACCGGGGGCAAGAGAAAGUCCUACCACAAAAAGCAGAAGUAUGAGUUGGGGCACCCGGCUGCCGACACCAAGAUUGGCCCCUGCCGCAUCCACACAGUCCGUGUGUGGGGCGGUAACAAGAAAUACCGUGCCCUGAGGCUGGAAGUGGGAAAUUUCUCCUGGGGCUCAGACUGUUGUACUCGAAAAACAAGGAUCAUUGAUGUUGUCUAUAAUGCGUCUAAUAACGAGCUGGUCCGUACCAAGACCCUGGUGAAGAAUUGCAUCGUGUUCAUCGACAGCAUGCUGUACUGACAGUGGUACAAGUCCCACUAUGCGCUGCCCCUGGGCCCCAAGAAGGGAGCCAAGCUGACUCCUGAGGAAGAAGAGAUUUUAAACAAAAAACGAUCUAAAAAAAUUCAGAAGAAAUACGACGAAAGGAAAUAGAAUGCCAAAACUAGCAGUCUCCUGGAGGAGCAGUUCCAGCAGGGCAAGCUUCUUGCAUGCAUGGCUUCAAGGCUGGGACAGUGUGGCCGAGCAGAUGGCUAUGUGCUAGAGGGCAAAGAGUUGGAGUUCUAUCUUAGGAAAAUCAAGGCCCGAAAAGGCAAAUAAAUCCUUGUUUUCUCUCUUCACCCAUGUAAUAAAGGUGUUUAUUGUUCUGUUCAAAAAAAAAAAAAAAAGGAAAGAAAGAAAAGAAAAGUGUGAAGCAUGGAAUAUGUUACCCCAAUGGUGGAAGGUGGUGGUGAUGAGGAUGAAAUGUUUUAGAACUGGUACCAGGAAUGGGGUGUAUGAUAAGGCCAGUGACUCCCGUGAAUCUGAGCCCUCUGCUUCUCUUCCUUUGCUGUGAAAUGAGUUAUUUGGUCACACACCAGACUGUGCAAAUGCCAUAAAAAUGGAUGAAGCAUUCU